CUGAUGGAUGGCAUCAGCUGCCAUCCACCUUAAAAACAUUAAUAAGGCAAUGCUGUAAGUUUGUACAUUGUUUUAUAUCGUUGUUUAGCUUUAUAUUUUCGUAUUAUAUCUGUAGUUUAUAGGAUGAGUGCAUUUUAUUUUUAUAACUGCAUCAGCCGUUAGCUGACAUUGUGCUGUGCUGUGUUUGCAGUUUUCACCGUCCAGUAAAGAGAAAAUCAAACUAGUACAGUCUCCGAGGUUUCUUUGCUGGUGGUUUAACUGCGUGUUUCGUCAGACACUACACAAACGUCAGUAGCUUUGAGAGAUCCAGAGUCGCACACCACCCUCAAGUACCUCGCUGCAUUGGAUCGGCAAAAGAGUCAUACGGAAUCAAAAUGUGGAUUUCAGAGGGAAAUCUGAUUAUGACCAUGUCAUUAGUACUCCGUUUCCUACAAACUGACUAGAUUUAAAAGACUCGAUGCCUGUUUCCCCAAAGCCUUUUUUGUUUCUUUGUUUAGGUAGAUAAGCCCUGUGUUAAGCAAGUAAUUUAAAAGUUUAAGUUGCUGGUUGUCAUGUGAACCUUUGGGAGCAAUUUUGCGGAAAUAUGCCAAUUGUGAAUAUAGGUUACCAUUGUUGUUCCUUUGCAUAAAGGGAAAAUCUAGUCCACCUCAGAUUUGAGUGGCGUUUAUUUAUUUGACAUUUAUUUAUACAGGAAAGUCCUACUAAGAUUUCAAAAUCUCUUUUUCAAGGGAGUCCUGCCUCCGGAGUGGAACCUAUUGUUUGUAGUUGUAAGGUAAACGAGAGGAAACCUAUGUUAGCAUGGGAAAAACAUGCACAUCCGCACAGAAAGGAUCCGUCUGACUUAGGAAUCCAACAUGGGACCUUCUAGCUGUGAAGCAAAAGCACUAACCGCUGCGCCACCAAUGUGACAUGUACUUAUGGUGUACAUGCACUUUGAUAGUGUGAUCAUUUUUGAAGAUUUGUUCUACUUAUUUUUUAUCUGUUCACUCUUGUUUCUGCUUGUUACAGGCAACAGUGU
rnacentral:lncRNA from 1 species